rnacentral:rRNA from 1 species
GGAAUCUUGCGCAAUGGAGGAAACUCUGACGCAGCCACGCCGCGUGCCGGAAGACGGCCCUAUGGGUUGUAAACGGCUUUUGAAUGGGAAGAACGAGAGGGUUUCGAUCUUCUGUGACGGUACCAUUUGAAUAAGCACCGGCUAACUCCGUGCCAGCAGCCGCGGUAAUACGGAGGGUGCAAGCGUUGUCCGGAAUCAUUGGGUGUAAAGGGUGCGUAGGCGGGAGCCUAAGUCUGGGGUGAAAUCUUGCCGCUUAACGGUAAAAUUGCCAUAGAUACUGGGUUUCUUGAGUACAGAAGAGGUCGGUGGAAUUCGUAGUGUAGCGGUGAAAUGCAUAGAUAUUACGAAGAACAUCAGUGGCGAAGGCGGCCGGCUGGACUGUAACUGACGCUGAGGCACGAAAGCGUGGGGAGCGAACAGG